rnacentral:rRNA from 1 species
GACGAACGCUGGCGGCGUGCCUAAUACAUGCAAGUAGAACGCACAGUUUAUACCGUAGCUUGCUACACCAUAGACUGUGAGUUGCGAACGGGUGAGUAACGCGUAGGUAACCUGCCUGGUAGCGGAGGAUAACUAUUGGAAACGAUAGCUAAUACCGCAUAAUAUUGAUUAUUGCAUGAUAAUUGAUUGAAAGAUGCUAUUGCAUCACUACCAGAUGGACCUGCGUUGUAUUAGCUAGUAGGUGAGGUAACGGCUCACCUAGGCGACGAUACAUAGCCGACCUGAGAGGGUGAUCGGCCACACUGGGACUGAGACACGGCCCAGACUCCUACGGGAGGCAGCAGUAGGGAAUCUUCGGCAAUGGACGAAAGUCUGACCGAGCAACGCCGCGUGAGUGAAGAAGGUUUUCGGAUCGUAAAGCUCUGUUGUAAGAGAAGAACGGGUGUGAGAGUGGAAAGUUCACACUGUGACGGUAUCUUACCAGAAAGGGACGGCUAACUACGUG